rnacentral:rRNA from 1 species
CACGUAGGCACCAAGCGUUGUCCGGAUUUAUUGGGCGUAAAGAGCUCGUAGGCGGUUCAGUAAGUCGGGUGUGAAAACUCAGGGCUCAACCCUGAGCUGCCACCCGAUACUGCUGUGACUAGAGUCUGGUAGGGGAGUGGGGAAUUCCUGGUGUAGCGGUGAAAUGCGCAGAUAUCAGGAGGAACACCGGUGGCGAAGGCGCCACUCUGGGCCACGACUGACGCUGAGGAGCGAAAGCAUGGGUAGCAAACAGG